UAGGGAAUUUUUCACAAUGAGCGAAAGCUUGAUGGAGCAAUGCCGCGUGAACGAUGAAGGUCUUUAAGAUUGUAAAGUUCUUUUAUUUGGGAAGAAUGACUUUAGCAGGUAAUGGCUAGAGUUUGACUGUACCAUUUUGAAUAAGUGACGACUAACUAUGUGCCAGCAGUCGCGGUAAUACAUAGGUCGCAAGCGUUAUCCGGAUUUAUUGGGCGUAAAGCAAGCACAGGCGGAUUGAAAAGUCUGGUGUUAAAGGCAGCUGCUUAACAGUUGUAUGCAUUGGAAACUAUUAAUCUAGAGUGUGGUAGGGAGUUUUGGAAUUUCAUGUGGAGCGGUGAAAUGCGUAGAUAUAUGAAGGAACACCAGUGGCGAAGGCGAAAACUUAGGCCAUUACUGACGCUUAGGCUUGAAAGUGUGGGGAGCAAAUAGGAUUAGAUACCCUAGUAGUCCACACCGUAAACGAUAGAUACUAGCUGUCGGGGCGAUCCCCUCGGUAGUGAAGUUAACACAUUAAGUAUCUCGCCUGGGUAGUACAUUCGCAAGAAUG
rnacentral:rRNA from 1 species